AUACGAAGGGGGCUAGCGUUGUUCGGAAUUACUGGGCGUAAAGCGCACGUAGGCGGAUAUUUAAGUCAGGGGUGAAAUCCCAGAGCUCAACUCUGGAACUGCCUUUGAUACUGGGUAUCUUGAGUAUGGAAGAGGUAAGUGGAAUUCCGAGUGUAGAGGUGAAAUUCGUAGAUAUUCGGAGGAACACCAGUGGCGAAGGCGGCUUACUGGUCCAUUACUGACGCUGAGGUGCGAAAGCGUGGGGCGCAAACAGGAUUAGAUACCCUAGUAGUCC
rnacentral:rRNA from 1 species